AUUGAACGCUGGCGGCAUGCUUUACACAUGCAAGUCGAACGGUAACAGGCCGCAAGGUGCUGACGAGUGGCGAACGGGUGAGUAAUGCAUCGGAACGUGCCCAGUCGUGGGGGAUAACUACUCGAAAGAGUAGCUAAUACCGCAUACGAUCUAUGGAUGAAAGCGGGGGACCGGAAGGCCUCGCGCGAUUGGAGCGGCCGAUGUCAGAUUAGGUAGUUGGUGGGGUAAAGGCUCACCAAGCCAACGAUCUGUAGCUGGUCUGAGAGGACGACCAGCCACACUGGUACUGAGACACGGCCCAGACUCCUACGGGAGGCAGCAGUGGGGAAUUUUGGACAAUGGGCGCAAGCCUGAUCCAGCAAUGCCGCGUGCAGGAAGAAGGCCCUCGGGUUGUAAACUGCUUUUGUACGGAACGAAACGGCUCUGGUUAAUACCCGGGGCUAAUGACGGUACCGUAAGAAUAAGCACCGGCUAACUACGUG
rnacentral:rRNA from 1 species